rnacentral:lncRNA from 1 species
GUGAACUUAAGUGCAGCCACAUACUGUUUUUUAAACCAUAUGUUUUACCACUAAUUUCCCAAAGUUACAAUAAAAUCCUAAAAGUAAAAAUCUAAUAGAAAUUUACUGUAAGGCAGACUGUUAAAUGGUAGAAAAUUAUUUCACAUUUUAGGCACUGAAAUUUUGAGGUAUAUUAGGUAUAUAAUGCACUUCACUUGGAUGCCUUUUCAUUUAUAGGCAGCUUCAGGAGCACCAAAAUACAUUGAAAUUCCAGUACUAAGAAUAUUUAUGUCUGUAAUGUUAAGAGGCAUUGCUUGUAUUUUUGGAAAGAUAGGGCCAAAGUAAUCAACUCUGUAGGCUCCAAGCUGUUGGGGAUGCUGUUACUCAUUAAUGCUUUUUACCGAAUGGUUGGAGUCAUAUGAUGCAUCACACUUUAAUUAACCUUAAGUAACAUUUUAUAGAACUGUAUAAGUGGUAUUCUUUAGAUGAAGUGUGUUCCUCUCUGCUCAUUGUCUGAAACUAAAUAUUUAGGGCUGAAUAGGCUUUAUGUAAUUCCUCAUUUCAU